GUCCCAGUGGGCUGGCACGGGAAAGAGGGGGCCUGCUUUCUGCCCCAGCCAUCAGGGAGUCAUAAACAUCUAUCUCCAGAGGGAAGAUCCAUCAGCUUUGCAUCAACCACAAAGGAAAGAUUUACAGACUCUUUUCAGGUUUAACAAAACAACAGGAGGUAGAAGAAAUCAACAGUCAAGGACAAAAAAUGCUGAAGAAAAAAGGCAAAACCACCACAGAUCUUCAAGAAGGGAAAAUGAGUUGCGUGGAAGAUGGGCCCGUUUUGUUGCCAUGUGGCUCCCAGAGGAGAAAGGGAUGGAUUCCCGUCAUUCUGCAGAAAGGGUCCAUCCGUAUUGCUGCAGAUCCACCCACUGCUCUCGCAGCUUCAUCACUCUCCUCGCUGCGGGCUCCACGGUGGCUACAUUCUACCGCACAGUACUCACACUCAUCAGUCAAGGCCUUUCCACCCUCUGCAAGAUUCGGCCUUUGCUGCUUUCAGGUCUCUGUUCAAAUAUCACCUUGUCAGUGAAGCCUUCCCAACUCCUUUACUUAAAACAACACCCUCCCCUACUACUCUGUCACUCUCUGAGCCUCUCAUCCUGAUGUAUUUUUCCCCAGUGCACUUAUACUAACAUACUGUAUAUUUCCUUAUUUAUCCAUGUAUUAUCGCACUUGUCCACUAGAAUGUAAAACUCCAGGAGGGCAAGGAAGUAAUCUACUUGAUUUAAAAUUUUAUCUCCAGGACCUACAACAUUUAAUUUAAGAUUAAAUUAGAACAUUAAAUUUAAAAUUUUAUCUCCAAGACCUGUUAUUUUAUACAUAACGAGUCCAUAUACACAUAUAUACAUAUGGGUGUCUAUGUAUAUAUAUCUACAUAUAUCUAUAAUAUACAUAGGGUUGGACAGAAAGUUCAUUUGGGAUUUUCCAUAUUAUCUUACAGAAAAACGUGAAUGAGCCUUUUGGCUAACUCAAUAUGUGUGUGUGUGUGUGUACAUGUGUAUAUUUCGGUGAAUGAGUGGGUGAAUUCAUGACUGAUCAAAAUAACCUGUGGAUUUUCUCUAUGUCCCAUAAGUUUUUCUCUUAAUAAAUGGUUCACGUGCAUGGAUGCA
ensembl:lncRNA